CCUACGGGUGACUGCAGUGGGGAAUAUUGGACAAUGGGGGGAACCCUGAUCCAGCGACGCCGCGUGAGUGAAGAAGUAUUUCGGUAUGUAAAGCUCUUUCAGCAGGGAAGAAAGAAAUGACGGUACCUUACUAAUAAGCCCCGGCUAACUACGUGCCAGCAGCCGCGGUAAUACGUAGGGGGCAAGCGUUAUCCGGAUUGACUGGGUGUAAAGGGAGCGUAGGCGGCUUGGCAAGUCUGAAGUGAAAGGCCGGGGCCCAACCCCCGGACUGCUAUGGAAACUGUAUGGCUGGAGUGCAGGAGAGGCAAGUGGAAUUCCUAGUGUAGCGGUGAAAUGCGUAGAUAUUAGGAGGAACACCAGUGGCGAAGGCGGCUUACUAGACUGUAACUGACGUUGAGGCUCGAAAGCGUGGGGAGCAAACAGGAUUAGAUACCCCUGUAGUC
rnacentral:rRNA from 1 species